AUACGUAGGUGGCAAGCGUUGUCCGGAAUGAUUGGGCGUAAAGGGCGCGUAGGCGGCCCGGUAAGUCUGGAGUGAAAGUCCUGUUUUUAAGAUGGGAAUUGCUUUGGAUACUGUCGGGCUUGAGUGCAGGAGAGGUAAGUGGAAUUCCCAGUGUAGCGGUGAAAUGCGUAGAGAUUGGGAGGAACACCAGUGGCGAAGGCGACUUACUGGACUGUAACUGACGCUGAGGCGCGAAAGUGUGGGGAGCAAACAGGAUUAGAUACCCUGGUAGUCCACACUGUAAACGAUGAAUGCUAGGUGUAGGGGGUAUCGACCCCUUCUGUGCCGCAGUCAACACAAUAAGCAUUCCGCCUGGGGAGUACGGCCGCAAGGUUGAAACUCAAAUGAAUUGACGGGG
rnacentral:rRNA from 1 species